AAAUUACUUUUCACCUCAGUUCAAUGUGAAUUUUCUCUCCUUGUAAGCAAACAGAAUGUAGCAGUACUAUUUCUAUCCUAAGAACAUAUGCACGUUGUUCCAUUAGUAGUAAUAUUUUCAUCAGAACAUUGUUUAACAGUAGCAAGUGAUAACAUUUGUAGGCAGUAAUCAGAGACUUGACAGCUUUCCUCACCACUAACAUUCUUCCAUCUAGGAGA
rnacentral:lncRNA from 1 species